UACGUAGGGCGCAAGCGUUGUCCGGAAUUAUUGGGCGUAAAGAGCUCGUAGGCGGCCUGUCGCGUCUGCUGUGAAAUCCCGGGGCUCAACCCCGGGCCUGCAGUGGAUACGGGCUGGCUGGAGGCAGGCAGGGGAGAACGGAAUUCCUGGUGUAGCGGUGAAAUGCGCAGAGAUCCGGAAGAACACCGGUGGCGAAGGCGGUCUGCUGGGGUAAUGCUGACACUGAUGCGCGACAGCGUGGGGAGCAAACAGG
rnacentral:rRNA from 1 species